rnacentral:rRNA from 1 species
GAUGAACGCUAGCGGUAGGCCUAACACAUGCAAGUCGAACGGAGCAGCAAUGCUCAGUGGCGCACGGGUGCGUAACACGUAUGCAACCUACCCUAUACACUAGGAUAGCUUUGGGAAACUGGAGGUAAUACUAGAUGGUCUAAGAUUAAGGCAUCUUAAUUUUAGUAAAGAUUUAUGGUAUAGGAUGGGCAUGCGCACUAUUAGCUAGUUGGUGGAGUAAUGGUUCACCAAGGCAACGAUAGUUAGGGGUUCUGAGAGAAGGUCCCCCACACUGGUACUGAGACACGGACCAGACUCCUACGGGAGGCAGCAGUGGGGAAUAUUGGACAAUGGGCGAAAGCCUGAUCCAGCAAUGCCGCGUGAGUGAUGAAGGCCUUAGGGUUGUAAAGCUCUUUUACUGGGGAUGAUAAUGACAGUACCCAGAGAAUAAGCUCCGGCUAACUCCGUGCCAGCAGCCGCAGUAAAGUGACUACU